rnacentral:misc_RNA from 1 species
UACGAAGGGUGCAAGCGUUACUCGGAAUUACUGGGCGUAAAGCGUGCGUAGGCGGUUCGUUAAGUCAGAUGUGAAAGCCCUGGGCUCAACCUGGGAAUUGCAUUUGAAACUGGCGGGCUAGAGUUCGGUAGAGGGUCGCGGAAUUCCCGGUGUAGCGGUGAAAUGCGUAGAGAUCGGGAGGAACAUCAGUGGCGAAGGCGGCGACCUGGACCAGAACUGACGCUAAGGUGCGAAAGCGUGGGGAGCAAACAGG